rnacentral:rRNA from 1 species
UACGAAGGGGACUAGCGUUGUUCGGAAUUACUGGGCGUAAAGCGCACGUAGGCGGAUUUGUAAGUCAGGGGUGAAAUCCCGGGGCUCAACCUCGGAACUGCCUUUGAUACUGCUAAUCUCGAGUCCGAUAGAGGUGGGUGGAAUUCCUAGUGUAGAGGUGAAAUUCGUAGAUAUUAGGAAGAACACCGGUGGCGAAGGCGGCCCACUGGAUCGGUACUGACGCUGAGGUGCGAAAGCGUGGGGAGCAAACAGG